rnacentral:rRNA from 1 species
ACGUAGGGGGCAAGCGUUAUCCGGAUUUACUGGGUGUAAAGGGAGCGUAGACGGACGGGCAAGUCUGAAGUGAAAGGCAGGGGCUUAACCCCUGGACUGCUUUGGAAACUGUCCAUCUAGAGUGCCGGAGAGGUAAGCGGAAUUCCUAGUGUAGCGGUGAAAUGCGUAGAUAUUAGGAGGAACACCAGUGGCGAAGGCGGCUUACUGGACGGUAACUGACGUUGAGGCUCGAAAGCGUGGGGAGCAAACAG